CAGUCUGUGACAUCAUCAAAAGGCCCCCUGAAGACCAUGUGGUGAUUCAGCAAGAUGCCCACAAACAAAGAGAAAGUUUCUAGGCACUGGCAGAAAGUUAAUGCAGACCCAGUAGCUAGGGCAAUGCAUUUAGCAAGGAGACGAGAAAGCAACCAGAGAAGAAAGCAAGCUGCCUUGGCUGCAAAUCCUGAUCACCUGUCAAUCAGGAAUUUAUCAGAUGCUGCAGCUGAGAAGAGGCGAAAGCAAUGGCGGGAAAAUCAAAGAAAACACAGGGCAGAAGCUAAACGUAUAAGGGCAGUUCUGGAUCUUAUUAUACAGUAUUACCACCUGUUCAGUUAAUUUUUACGAAUAUGAUAUGCAUUAUGGAAUAAAAAUGAUUAUUAAUUUCAGCAUCUACUUCUGUGAUUUGUUAAGGAAUAAAAUGAUACAGAAUAAUAUUCAAAACAUUGCAAUAAUGGAAACAAUGACACUAUUUUUGUCAAAAAUGUCAUUCAGUGUAACAAACCAUGGUCAUUCGGUGUAACACAUAUAUUUAUGUAGAAAUGAAACAAUAUACUUAUUCUGAGCUGUACUUACAGUAUUAAAAUAUGUAUAAUAAUGUGUGAUCCUUCAAAAAUUUUAUUUGAUUUGAAUUGAUUUUCACUUCCUUACAAAAACUUAUUGCUGACAAAUGGGUAAAACCUAAUGGUUUAAAGGAUAUUGGCGAAGUAAAAUGCUUUAAAAUGACAAAUAGUUAGUAUUUGGUGUCUGCACUGUGAUCUAUAAAUAGAGUCUUGUAAUGUGUCAUCAAAUAAUAGUUUUUCUAAAAAUGUCUGAUAAUAUUUUUUGCAUAAAAAUAUUGUUACACUGAAUGACAUUUUAGUUGGUGUCUUCUGUAAAAUCCCAGUAAAAAUGUAUGGUAGUAAUUAUUUUUUGCUCAGAAAAAUAUAUAGUUAAACAGGACAUAUUCUAAUGUAUGUGAAAAAGACUAAAUUUAAAGCUCUUUUACACUUUUAUUUUUUUUAUGCUUUAAACCCCCUUUUCGUCUUUGACCCAUAUAUAUAUAUAUAUAUA